rnacentral:rRNA from 1 species
UCUACCUAGUAGUACGGAAUAAUUGUUGGAAACGGCAACUAAUACCGUAUACGCCCUACGGGGGAAAAAUUUAUUGCUAUUAGAUGAGCCUAUAUUAGAUUAGUUAGUUGGUGAGGUAAAGGCUUACCAAGACAAUGAUCUAUAGCUGAUCUGAGAGGAUGAUCAGCCACACUGGAACUGAGAUACGGUCCAGACUCCUACGGGAGGCAGCAGUGGGGAAUAUUGGACAAUGGGCGAAAGCCUGAUCCAGCCAUGCCGCAUGAGUGAAGAAGGCCUUCGGGUUGUAAAGCUCUUUUAGUGAGGAAGAUAAUGACGGUACUCACAGAAGAAGUCCUGGCUAACUCCGUGCCAGCAGCCGCGGUAAUACGGAGAGGGCUAGCGUUAUUCGGAAUCAUUGGGCGUAAAGGGCGCGUAGGCGGGUUAGUAAGUUAAAAGUGAAAUCCCAAGGCUCAACCUUGGAACUGCUUUUAAAACUGCUAAUCUAGAGAUUGAAAGAGGAUAGAGGAAUUCCUAGUGUAGAGGUGAAAUUCGUAAAUAUUAGGAGGAACACCAGUGGCGAAGGCGUCUAUCUGGUUCAAAUCUGACGCUGAGGCGCGAAGGCGUGGGGAGCAAACAGGAUUAGAUACCCUGGUAGUCCACGCUGUAAACGAUGAAUGUUAAAUAUGGGAAGUUUACUUUCUGUAUUAUAGCUAACGCGUUAAACAUUCCGCCUGGGGACUACGGUCGCAAGAUUAAAACUCAAAGGAAUUGACGGGGACCCGCACAAGCGGUGGAGCAUGUGGUUUAAUUCGAUGCAACGCGAAAAACCUUACCACUCCUUGACAUGA